AGGUGUUUGUUGUCAUCCAAUUUGUGGAAAUGACUGCUUCUUUUAACUUGCUUUUUCAAAAUGUGAGCAGCCGCUUGGUCUUUGUCCUUAUGGCUGAAAUGAUUUGUCAUCUACCCUUGAUGGGCUUGAAUUUAACGGAGAGCUUGCAGUUGACCCGUUUUUGACAACUUGAUUUCCUGUAGCUUUGUCCUUGAUUUCUUUCUUUUGUGCAGAAGUUCCUUUUGACCCAUUUUUUUCUUUUUGCUUUGUUUGCUUCCUUUUGAC
rnacentral:lncRNA from 1 species